rnacentral:misc_RNA from 1 species
ACCUAGCCUUGAUAGAAACGGUUACCCCGCAGCAUGAGCAGGGGAACAAAAGGCUCCGGACCGGAGUGCGCCGGAGCGAGGAGUAAGAGUGGAUAGCAAGAGUAAGC